AUCACUGUGAGUAUAUGUAGAUAUAGACCAGCUACAUCACUGUGAGUAUAUGUAGAUAUAGACCAGCUACAUCACUGUGAGUAUAUGUAGAUAUAGACCAGCUACAUCACUGUGAGUAUAUGUAGAUAUAGACCAGCUACAUCACUGUGAGUAUAUGUAGAUAUAGACCAGCUACAUCACUGUGAGUAUAUGUAGAUAUAGACCAGCUACAUCACUGUGAGUAUAUGUAGAUAUAGACCAGCUAUAUCACUGUGAGUAUAUGUAGAUAUAGACCAGCUACAUCACUGUGAGUAUAUGUAGAUAUAGACCAGCUACAUAACCUGAGAUCAGUCUUCACUGACCUUGGCAGUGAGGAUUUAAAGAGAGAGAAGAUCAGCUUUGUGUGCCAGAUCGUUAGAGUCGGACGGAUGGAGCUACGUGACAACAACACCAAGAAGCUGACCUCUGGGCUGAGGAGACCCUUUGGAGUGGCAGUAAUGGAUGUGACUGACAUCAUAACAGGCAAGAUGGAUGAUGAGGACAAGCAGCAUUUCAUCCCCUUCCAGCCGUGAGUAUGAAAUAUGAACACACACUCUCUCUCCCAUCCAUUACAUCACCAUAACACAGCGCACUAUGUCACAAAACCCGUGUCGAUGUCUCCGUUCCUACUUGAUCAUGGGGGAGAUGUUCUAUAAACACAACACACAUGGACCAGAACAUAAUGGAGAUGUUCUAUAAACACAACACAUAUGGACCAGAACAUAAUGGAGGUCUAUGGACCAGAACAUACUGGAGGUCUAUGGUGGGACCUCUAUGGACCAGAACAUACUGGAGGUCUAUGGACCAGAACAUACUGGAGGUCUAUGGACCAGAACAUACUGGACCUCUAUGGACCAGAACAUACUGGACCUCUAUGGACCAGAACAUUAAGUCUAUGUUAGGGUCGUACUCUGACCUCUAUGGACUAGAACAUUAAGUCUACGUUAGGGUCGUACUCUGACCUCUAUGGACCAGAACAUUAAGUCUAUGUUAGGGUCGUACUCUGACCUCUAUGGACCAGAACAUACUGGACCUCUAUGGACCAGAACAUUAAGUCUAUGUUAGGGUCGUACUCUGACCUCUAUGGACCAGAACAUUAAG
rnacentral:lncRNA from 13 species